GCCAGGUGUGGUGAGGCACACCUGUAAUCUCAGUGACUUGGGAGGCUGAGGCAGUAGGAUUGCAGAUUCAAAGCCUGCCUCAGCAACUUUAGCAAGGCCCUAAGCAAUUAGCAAGACCCUGUCUCAA
rnacentral:sRNA from 1 species